ACUUCGUAGACCGGGUUGGCGACGCGUAUUCUUAGGGAAUUAACACACAUUUGCGCUGUUAUUGCUUGAGAAUACACGUAGUUUGUCUGGUCGUUCACUUC
rnacentral:pre_miRNA from 11 species